UCAAGGAAGAAGAUUUGACGGUACUUGAGGAAUAAGCCCCGGGUAAUUCCGCGCCCGCAGCCGCGGUAAUACGGGAGUGGCAAGCCUUAUCCGGAAUUAUUGGGCGUAAAGCGUCCGCAGGCGGCCUUGAAAGUCUGUCGUUAAAGCGUGGAGCUUAACUCCAUUUCGGCGGGGGAAACUACAAGGCUUGAGUGGGGUAGGGGCAGAGGGAAUUCCCGGGGUAGCGGUGAAAUGGGUAGAUAUCGG
rnacentral:rRNA from 1 species